ACGGCCGUACCAUGCUGAAUAUACCGGUUCUCGUUAGAUCACCGAAGUCAAGCAUCAUUGGGCGCGGUCAGUACUUGGGUGGGUGACCACCUGGGAACACCGCGUGCCGUU
rnacentral:rRNA from 2 species